rfam:Strongylocentrotus purpuratus Contig85182_fixed, whole genome shotgun sequence.
CAAAUGGUGGCUCAGUGUUUAGAGCGCCCGUCUCAUGAACGGGAGGUCGUGGGUUCGAACCCCGGCUGAGUCA